rnacentral:rRNA from 1 species
AUUGAACGCUGGCGGCAUGCCUUACGCAUGCAAGUCGAACGGUAACGGGCCUUCGGGUGCCGACGAGUGGCGCACGGGUGAGUAAUACAUCGGAACGUGCCCGAUCGUGGGGGAUAACGAGGCGAAAGCUUUGCUAAUACCGCAUACGAUCUACGGAUGAAAGCAGGGGACCGCAAGGCCUUGCGCGGACGGAGCGGCCGAUGGCAGAUUAGGUAGUUGGUGGGAUAAAAGCUUACCAAGACGACGAUCUGUAGCUGGUCUGAGAGGAUGAUCAGCCACACUGGGACUGAGACACGGCCCAGACUCCUACGGGAGGCAGCAGUGGGGAAUUUUGGACAAUGGGCGCAAGCCUGAUCCAGCCAUGCCGCGUGCAGGAUGAAGGCCUUCGGGUUGUAAACUGCUUUUGUACGGAACGAAAAGCCUUCUUUUAAUACAGGAGGGUCAUGACGGUACCGUAAGAAUAAGCACCGGCUAACUACGUG